rnacentral:misc_RNA from 1 species
GAUGAAGAACGUAGCGAAAUGCGAUAAGUAAUGUGAAUUGCAGAAUUCAGUGAAUCAUCGAAUCUUUGAACGCACAUUGCGCCCGCCAGUAUUCUGGCGGGCAUGCCUGUUCGAGCGUCUUUUCAACCAUCAAGCCCCCGGCUUGUGUUGGGGACCUGCGGCUGCCGCAGGCCCUGAAAACCAGUGGCGGGCUCGCUAGUCACUCCGAGCGUAGUAAUACAUCUCGCUCAGGGCGUGCUGCGGGUUCCGGCCGUUAAAAGCCUUAUUUACCCAAGGUUGACCUCGGAUCAGGUAGGAAGACCCGCUGAACUUAAGCAUAUCAAUAAGCGGAGGA